CAGCAGUCGCCGCGGUAAUACGGAGGGGGCUAGCGUUGUUCGGAAUUACUGGGCGUAAAGCGCACGUAGGCGGCUUGGUAAGUUAGAGGUGAAAGCCCGGAGCUCAACUCCGGAAUUGCCUUUAAGACUGCCGAGCUAGUAGGUGAGAGAGGUAAGUGGAAUUCCGAGUGUAGAGGUGAAAUUCGUAGAUAUUCGGAAGAACACCAGUGGCGAAGGCGGCUUACUGGACUGGUAUUGACGCUGAGGUGCGAAAGCGUGGGGAGCAAACAGGAUUAGAGACCCCAGUAGUCCCUGUCUCUUAUAA
rnacentral:rRNA from 1 species